CUUAGCAUGAAGUGAAGCACAUACACCUGCUGAAUUUAAGCAUAUAAGUAAGUGGUGGAAAUUAAACCAAAUGGGAUAUCUUUAGUAAUUGCGAAUGAACAAGGAUAUGCUUAGCUUGACAAAUGGAGCUAUUGGCUCUGAAUUGUAUUGUGGAAAUGUAUUACCAACAGAGGUGCAGGUGCCAGCCUAUUGAAAUAAAGCGUCAAUGAGGGUGAGAAUCCUGUUUGUCAUGUGCAGCCCUUUGUGCACGGUGUAUAUUUGCUGAGUCACACUCCUUGGCAUUGGAAUGCAAAGUGGGUGGUAAGUUUCAUGUAAAGGUAAACAUGCAAUUGAGACUGAUAGCACACAAGUACCAUGAGGGAAAUAUGAAAAGGACUUUGAAAAGAGAAUUAAAUGAGUUUGUAUUUGCUGAACACAAAGUAAACAGACUUGAUUUGCUUGGUGGGAGUGUUGCACUUGCUUGACAAGAGCUUUGGGCUGUGGGUGUAAUGAUUCUUUCUUUGCAUGCCAGUUUCUAUUUGUACAUCUGAUUACCUUUGCACAUGAAUGAUAAGUCUCCUGUGGGGGGUGGAUUGCAUGUGCAUGUAAUGAUUUGUGUUUUGAUAAAUGUGUCUGGUGUAUGUGUGUGUUCCUGUGCUUGGGGAUGCUUCCUUCCUUGGACUUACAAGCCCUGACACACACAUGCUGGCAAAAUGCUUCUGCUUGACCCGUCUUGAAACACGGACCAAGGAGUCUAACAGAUGUGCAAAGUUUGAAGGUGGUAUACCUUUGUGUGCAAUGAAAGUGUCAGCUGGGAUAUGUGCACCAGCACCCAAUUAAUUAGCGGACAGAGGUUUGAGUUGGAGCAUAUCUAUUAGGACCCGAAAGAUGGUGAACUAUGCCUGAACAGAAUGAAUUCAGAGGAAACUCUGAUGGAGGUUCGUAUCGAUACUGACGUGCAAAUCGUUCG
rnacentral:rRNA from 1 species